rnacentral:rRNA from 1 species
AAAAGGGAAGCGCUUGUGACCAGACUUGCGUCCGGUGAAUCACCCAGCUCUCGCGGCUGGGGCACUUCGCCGGCACAGGCCAGCAUCAGCUUGCCGUCGGGGACAAAAGCUUCAGGAACGUGGCUCCUCUCGGGGAGUGUUAUAGCCUGUUGCAUAAUACCCUUCGNCGGGCUGAGGUACGCGCUCCGCAAGGAUGCUGGCNUAAU